rnacentral:rRNA from 1 species
GACGAACCGUCCAAACGUUAUUCGGAAUUACUGGGCUUAAAGGGUGCGUAGGCGGCGCGGAAAGUUGGGUGUGAAAUCCCUCGGCUCAACCGAGGAACUGCGCCCAAUACUACCGUGCUUGAGGGAGAUAGAGGUGAGCGGAACUUAGGGUGGAGCGGUGAAAUGCGUUGAUAUCCUAAGGAACACCGGUGGCGAAAGCGGCUCACUGGAACGGUACUGACGCUGAGACGCGAAAGCGUGGGGAGCGAACAGG